GAAGUUAAACGGCCGCGGUAUCCUGACCGUGCAAAGGUAGCAUAAUCACUUGUUCCUUAAUUAGGGACUAGCAUGAACGGCUAAACGAGGAUUCUACUGUCUCUUAUUCUCAAUCAGUGAAAUUGACCUUCCAGUGAAGAGGCUGGAAUAAUAAAAUAAGACGAGAAGACCCUAUGGAGCUUUAAUUAAUUAGCUUAAUUAUUAUUACUUAACCUAAUGGACUAACCACAAAAAAGAAUAAGCUAACAAUUUCGGUUGGGGUGACCUCGGAGAAUAAAAAAUCCUCCGAAUGAUUUUAGCAUAGACUUACAAGUCAAAGCAACUACUUAAAUCUUAUUGACCCAAUUCUCUUUGAUCAACGGACCAAGUUACCCUAGGGAUAACAGCGCAAUCCUAUUUAAGAGUUCAUAUCGACAAUAAGGGUUUACGACCUCGAUGUUGGAUCAGGACAUCCCAA
rnacentral:rRNA from 1 species